rnacentral:tRNA from 1 species
UUAGGGAGACCUACUUCAGGACACCGUGCGAUGAUAAUAAUGGCCGAGUCUUGAGGUCAUCCUUAGGUCGGAUGGGGCGGUCAGAGAGCUUUCAAACUUUAGGGUUCGUGUUAUGGGCUAUUAGCUCAGGUGGUUAGAGCGCACCCCUGAUAAGGGUGAGGUCCCUGGUUCAAGUCCAGGAUGGCCCACAUCCACCCCAAACUGGGGGUAUAGCUCAGUUGGUAGAGCGCUGCCUUUGCACGGCAGAAGUCAGCGGUUCGAGUCCGCUUACCUCCACUCUCCUUUAAUUAGGUGCUAGUUGGGGUGAGGUAGUCUUGAAUUGAGAAAUUGAGAGUUGGUG